AACGCGAAGAACCUUACCUGGGCUUGAACCGCACAGGACCAGCUUGAGAAAUCAGGCCUUCCCGCAAGGGACCUGUGUAGAGGUGCUGCAUGGCUGUCGUCAGCUCGUGCCGUGAGGUGUUGGGUUAAGUCCCGCAACGAGCGCAACCCUUAUUACCAGUUGCCAUCAUUCAGUUGGGCACUCUGGUGAGACCGCCUCGGAUAACGGGGGAGGAAGGCGGGGAUGACGUCAAGUCCUCAUGGCCUUUAUGUCCAGGGCUACACACGUGCUACAAUGGCCGGUACAAACCGUCGCAAACCCGUGAGGGGGAGCUAAUCGGAAAAAGCCGGCCUCAGUUCGGAUUGGAGUCUGCAACUCGACUCCAUGAAGCUGGAAUCGCUAGUAAUCGCAGAUCAGAACGCUGCGGUGAAUACGUUCCCGGGCCUUGUACACACCGAGACGUA
rnacentral:rRNA from 1 species